UAAAUAAUCCCACGGACUCACCUGGUAGCC
rnacentral:piRNA from 1 species